UUGUGGUUUCUAGAUAAAAUGAAGGUAUGAAAUAAUACAAUAUAAAAUACAAGGGUUUGAAUUAUAUUAUUGCAUAUAUUAAGGCAUCAAAUCAGUGUCAGCUGAGUACGUCAAUUAGGUUGCCUGUGUCACGAUCUGGGUUUUCGUUUCUUGUGUUAUUCCCGAAGGACUCUCUGUUUUCACUUAGUUGUCAUGUUUUGGUUUCCUGUUUUAUUUUGUAGUACUUCCGGUUUCUGUUUUCAUCUGGUUAGUUCCCGCUUCACGUCCCGGUCUCAAUACACACACCUGUCUAUAAUCAGUAAUCUGCAUCAGUGUAUAUAGUCUCCACCUCACACACUCUCCAGUUGCCAGAUUGUUGAGUAUCCGUACCACCUUCGAGUGUUUACAGUAUUGCUUACCUUGUUUCUCGAUCACAUCUGUUUUCUGACCACCAAUUUCUGCCUGUCCCCUGACUGUACCUACGCCUGGAUCACCUGGGCCUCCAGGACUGGUUGUGGACUCUGCUGGUGACCAGCACCCAGGUGAAGAUCAGGCAGUGAUGAGCCAACAUGAUGCCUGUCUUUUUCGCAUUUGAUUCCUACUCACUGCUCUGCUUCUUGACCUGCGCCACUCAUCAUUUUCAGGAAUUUCCCAGGUGAAGCUCCGCCUCCUACCUGGCUAAGCAGCUGAUACACCUGAGCAUGCGCCAAAUUCAACUGACUUACCCGCCUUUCCUGGUGCUGGUUGAAAUCUAACAUUAACGCCACCUGUUGCAGG